UGCGUGUCGCUCAGUCAUUUU
rnacentral:miRNA from 1 species